GGGGUUGCAGCUCAGUGGUCAAGUGCCUGCCUGCUACGCACAAGAGCUGGGUUUAAGUCCCAGCUCCCCCC
rnacentral:tRNA from 1 species